UACGAAUGGGGCAAGCGUUGUUCGGAAUAACUGGGCUUAAAGCGUGCGUAGGCGGUCAUGAAAGUCAGAAGUGAAAUCCCCGGGCUUAACCCGGGAAUUGCUUUUGAAACUCCAUGACUAGAAUCCGGGAGAGGUUGGGAGAAUUCCUAGUGUAGAGGUGAAAUUCGCAGAUAUUAGGAGGAAUACCAGUGGCGUAGGCGCCCAACUGGACCGGCAUUGACGCUGAGGUACGAAAGCGUGGGGAGCAAACAGG
rnacentral:rRNA from 1 species